rnacentral:rRNA from 1 species
AGUGAACGCUGGCGGCAGGCCUAACACAUGCAAGUCGAACGGCAGCACAGGGGAGCUUGCUCCCUGGGUGGCGAGUGGCGGACGGGUGAGGAACACAUCGGAAUCUGCCUAUUUGUGGGGGGAUAACCUCGGGAAACCGGGACUAAUACCGCAUACGACCUACGGGUGAAAGCCGGGGACCUUCGGGCCUGGCGCAGAUAGAUGAGCCGAUGUCGGAUUAGCUAGUUGGAGGGGUAAAGGCCCACCAAGGCGACGAUCCGUAGCUGGUCUGAGAGGAUGAUCAGCCACACUGGGACUGAGACACGGCCCAGACUCCUACGGCUG